rnacentral:rRNA from 1 species
CAUCUUUUCUAGUAUUUUAUUUGAGAUCUGACCUGCCCAAUGACUUGUUUAAAUGGCCGCGGUAUUUUGACCGUGCAAAGGUAGCAUAAUCAUUAGUCUAUUAAUUGUGGACUUGUAUGAAUGGUUGGACGAGAUAUUAUCUGUCUCAUGUUAAAAGUUUAUAAUUUAAAUUUUGAGUUAAAAUGCUUAAAUUUUUUUAUAGGACGAGAAGACCCUAUAGAUCUUUAUUUAUUUAUUAUUUAAAUGGUUUAGAUUCAANUUUUUUUAAUUAGUUCAUUUAUUUUGUUGGGGUGACAUUGAUAUAUAAUUAACUAUUAAUUUUUUUUUAUUCAUUUAUUUUUGUUUAUUUGACCUUUUAUUAAUGUUAUAAGAUAUAGAUACCUUA